AGACGGAGGGUCCUAGCGUUGUUCGGAAUAACUGGGCGUAAAGGGUACGUAGGCGGUUUAGUAAGUUAGAUGUGAAAGCCCAGGGCUCAACCUUGGAACUGCAUUUAAAACUGCUGGACUUGAGAUCGGAAGAGGAAAGUGGAAUUUCUAGUGUAGAGGUGAAAUUCGUAGAUAUUAGAAGGAACAUCAGAGGCGAAGGCGACUUUCUGGUCCGAUACUGACGCUGAGGUACGAAAGCGUGGGGAGCAAACAGAAUUAGAAACCCUAGUAGUCC
rnacentral:rRNA from 1 species